rnacentral:rRNA from 1 species
UACGGGGGGGGCAAGCGUUGUUCGGAAUUACUGGGCGUAAAGGGCUCGUAGGCGGCCAACUAAGUCAGACGUGAAAUCCCUCGGCUUAACCGGGGAACUGCAUCUGAUACUGGAUGGCUUGAGUUCGGGAGAGGGAUGCGGAAUUCCAGGUGUAGCGGUGAAAUGCGUAGAUAUCGGGAGGAACACCAGUGGCGAAGGCGGAACUCUGGGCCGGAACUGACGCCGAGGAGCGAAAGCGUGGGGAGCGAACAGG